rnacentral:rRNA from 1 species
AGCGAACGCUGGCGGCAGGCCUAACACAUGCAAGUCGAACGAAGCCUUCGGGCUUAGUGGCGGACGGGUGAGUAACACGUGGGAACGUACCGUUUGGUUCGGAAUAACGCAGAGAAAUUUGAGCUCAUACCGAAUGAGCACUUCGGGGGAAAGAUUUAUCGCCGAAAGAUCGGCCCGCGUUGGAUUAGGUAGUUGGUGUGGUAAAGGCGCACCAAGCCUACGAUCCAUAGCUGGUCUGAGAGGAUGAUCAGCCACACUGGGACUGAGACACGGCCCAGACUCCUACGGGAGGCAGCAGUGGGGAAUCUUGCGCAAUGGGCGAAAGCCUGACGCAGCCAUGCCGCGUGAAUGAUGAAGGUCUUAGGAUUGUAAAAUUCUUUUACCAGGGACGAUAAUGACGGUACCCGGAGAAAAAGCCCCGGCUAACUUCGUGCCAGCAGCCGCCGUAAGAC